GCGGAAGUAGCUCAGUGGUAGAGCUCCUCGUUGCCAACGAGGAGGUCGCGGGUUCAAGUCCCGUCUUCCGCUCCA
rnacentral:tRNA from 1 species